CAGUGGCGCAAUGGGUCAGUGCAUCCUGCUGUUAACCAGAAGAUUGGUGGUUCAAGCCCACCCAGGACGG
rnacentral:tRNA from 1 species